rnacentral:rRNA from 1 species
AUACGGAGGGUCCGAGCGUUAAUCGGAAUUACUGGGCGUAAAGCGCGCGUAGGCGGCUAUAUAAGUCAGAUGUGAAAUCCCUGGGCUCAACCUAGGAACUGCAUUUGAAACUGUAUGGCUAGAGUAUGGUAGAGGUGAGUGGAAUUUCAGGUGUAGCGGUGAAAUGCGUAGAGAUCUGAAGGAGCAUCAGUGGCAAAGGCGACUCACUGGGCCAUUACUGACGCUGAGGUGCGAAAGCGUGGGUAGCAAACAGGAUUAGAUACCCCAGUAGUCC